rnacentral:rRNA from 1 species
GCCCACUGAUAAAUUAUUAAAGGGCCGCAGUAUUUUGACUGUGCGAAGGUAGCAUAAUCAGUAGUCUUUUAAUUGAAGGCUUGUAUGAAUGGUUGAAUGAGAUAUAUACUGUCUUUUUUAAAUUUUUAUAGAAUUUUAUUUUUUAAUUAAAAAGUUAAAAUGUAAUUAAAAGACGAGAAGACCCUAUAGAUCUUUAUUUUUGUUAAUUAUAAAUUAAAAAGAAUAAUUAAAUUUAUAUUUUAAUAAAAAAUUUUACUGGGGUGGUAUUAAAAUUUAAAAAACUUUUAUUUUCAAUUUACAUUAAUUUAUGAAUAUUUGAUCCAGUUAUAUUGAUUAAAAAAUUAAGUUACCUUAGGGAUAACAGCGUAAUUUUUUUUUAGAGUUCUUAUCGACAAAAAAGAUUGCGACCUCGAUGUUGGAUUAAGAGUUAUUUUUAGGUGUAGAAGUUUAAAGUUUAGGUCUGUUCGACCUUUGAAUUCUUACAUGAUCUGAGUUCAAACCGGCGUAAGCCAGGUUGGUUUCUAUCUUUAAUUAAUUAUUAUAUUAUAGUACGAAAGGACCUAAUAUAAAAAAUAUAAAUUUUAAAUUUAUGAAUUAUAUUAAUAUUUAAUAAACUAUUUUGGCAGAUUAGUGCAAUAAAUUUAGAAUUUAUUUAUAUAAUUUAAUUAAUUAUAAAUAGUAUUGUUUUAUAUAGAUUAUUUAUUAUCAUUGAUUGGAAGUUUAUUAUUGGUAAUUUGUGUAAUAGUAGGGGUAGCUUUUUUAACUUUAUUAGAGCGGAAAGUUUUAGGAUAUAUUCAAAUUCGU